GGGGCACAGUCCAUGAAACUGUACAGAUCACAUCUCUCUGGCCCUGGGAAUCCUAUCAACGUUUCCCUCCCAGAUGUCCUUAUUCUAGUUUAAGUGCCUCAAGACCUGAGAACUCCAGGCGUGGGAAAUGUGGAUUUGCCACGGUGGGAUCCUGCUGCAUCGCAGCUCAGGUGCAGAAGGUGGCAGACACCUAGACUCCUGACGUAACUUGCCCGGAAUCAGAGAGUGUGUAAUAUUAAUGUGCUAUCAGAAACAAACAGCAGAAAGCAAGUCGGAGGUUAUAACCCAGUGGUGAAGCGACUGCUACCAUGGUCAAGGACUUGGGUUCCUUCUCCAGCCUCACAAACAAAGCAGAACAACCCUAAUUUGGAUAUGCUGCACUGGUCAGAAGUUAGCCAAAGACUUCAGCGGCAGAGCAAAACAUGACAAAAUCUAUUACUACAAGAUCAUGAAAGCCCCCAAACUAAUGCAAGGGGGACAAAUGAAUCGCCAUGUACAAGUCAUGGUUACUGGUGGGAUUUCAAAAUCAUGUGGUCCUGAGUUAAAGUCCUCCCCCUCCCCCUCUGAGCUCUAAGCAUGACUGGACUCACUGGAGCUGCAAGGAGUACAAACUCGCUCUUGCCAACACAAACUCUACCAGGGAGGGGGUAUUUUUAUAAGGACAACAGUGCUGUUCAGAGAAUGAGAAGAAGAGCUGGAGCUUGGCCCACUCCAGAGAUCUUGGCAGGAUGCUCAGCAUCCUGCGUCUUGAGGACACUUCGCUCAGACAACCCAGCUCCUGAUGGCAUUUGAGUUCUGGGCUGCAAUCUCCACUCAGAACGCAAGUUUUCAGAGUAGCGCUUCUGACUGGCCUGUCUAGGAUGUGUACUUUAUCUGUGGACUGUAGACAGAGCUGAGACUUACAGACUAGGAGAAAGGUUGAUUCUCUGAGGAAGGAAAGCAGAGCCGACCAAAACAAAUCAGAUCUAUUAUAUUAUCUUUCAGUUAUCUCAUCAUGGAAAUGGACAUAAAAACACAGAUCUGGUAGGACUGUUUUGAAGAUGAAUGGAACAAGGAGAUGUUUGCCAAAGUGCACACCACAAGACCUGGCCCUUUCUAAGUGAUAAUGGCAGCCAUUGUUAUGACUUGUAUGGGAUGAAUCAUAUGACACCUUUAAAAGAUCUGACUCUAUCUUCUGUAGGCAUGGAUUUGAGUCUGGAGUUCUCCCCAGGACACAUUUGCCUAAAUAUCGAUGGUGAAAUGAAUAGACAUUUGGAUG